UGGGGAAUAUUGCACAAUGGGCGCAAGCCUGAUGCAGCCAUGCCGCGUGUGUGAAGAAGGCCUUCGGGUUGUAAGGCACUUUCAGCGAGGAGGGAGGGUAGUGUGUUAAUAGCACAUUGCAUUGACGUUACUCGCAGAAGAAGCACCGGCUAACUCCGUGCCAGCAGCCGCGGUAAUACGGAGGGUGCAAGCGUUAAUCGGAAUUACUGGGCGUAAAGCGCACGCAGGCGGUUUGUUAAGUCAGAUGUGAAAUCCCCGCGCUUAACGUGGGAACUGCAUUUGAAACUGGCAAGCUAGAGUCUUGUAGAGGGGGGUAGAAUUCCAGGUGUAGCGGUGAAAUGCGUAGAGAUCUGGAGGAAUACCGGUGGCGAAGGCGGCCCCCUGGACAAAGACUGACGCUCAGGUGCGAAAGCGUGGGGAGCAAACA
rnacentral:rRNA from 1 species